rnacentral:rRNA from 1 species
UACGUAGGGGGCAAGCGUUGUCCGGAUUUAUUGGGCGUAAAGAGCGUGUAGGCGGCUUUGCAAGUCCGUUGUGAAAACUCGAGGCUCAACCUCGAGACGCCGGUGGAAACUGCAAAGCUAGAGUCCGGAAGAGGAGAGUGGAAUUCCUGGUGUAGCGGUGAAAUGCGCAGAUAUCAGGAGGAACACCCGUGGCGAAAGCGGCUCUCUGGGCAGUAACUGACGCUGAGGAGCGAAAGCGUGGGGAGCGAACAGG